rnacentral:rRNA from 1 species
GAUACGACCGUACCGCAAACCGACACUGGUGCGCGAGAUGAGUAUUCUAAGGCGCUUGGGAGAACUCAGGAGAAGGAACUCGGCAAAUUGACACCGUAACUUCGGAAGAAGGUGUGCCCUAUUAGUGUGUAGUGAACAACGAAGCAUGAAUGGGUUGCAAAAAAUCGGUGGCUGCGACUGUUUAUUAAAAACACAGCACUCUGCAAACACGAAAGUGGACGUAUAGGGUGUGACGCCUGCCCGGUGCUGGAAGAUUAAAUGAUGGGGUGCAAGCUCUUGAUUGAAGUCCCAGUAAACGGCGGCCGUAACUAUAACGGUCCUAAGGUAGCGAAAUUCCUUGUCGGGUAAGUUCCGACCUGCACGAAUGGCGUAACGAUGGCCACACUGUCUCCUCCUGAGACUCAGCGAAGUUGAAAUGUUUGUGAUGAUGCAAUCUCCCCGCGGAAAGACGGAAAGACCCCAUGAACCUUUACUGUAGCUUUGUAUUGGACUUUGAACAGAUCUGUGUAGGAUAGGUGGGAGGCUUUGAAGCAGGGUCGCUAGAUCUUGUGGAGCCAACGUUGAAAUACCACCCUGGUGUGUUUGAGGUUCUAACCUAGGUCCAUUAUCUGGAUCGGGGACAGUGCAUGGUAGGCAGUUUGACUGGGGCGGUCUCCUCCCAAAGCGUAACGGAGGAGUUCGAAGGUACGCUAGUUACGGUCGGACAUCGUGACGAUAGUGCAAUGGCAUAAGCGUGCUUAACUGCGAGACUGACAAGUCGAGCAGAUGCGAAAGCAGGACAUAGUGAUCCGGUGGUUCUGUAUGGAAGGGCCAUCGCUCAACGGAUAAAAGGUACUCUGGGGAUAACAGGCUGAUACCGCCCAAGAGUUCAUAUCGACGGCGGUGUUUGGCACCUCGAUGUCGGCUCAUCUCAUCCUGGGGCUGUAGCCGGUCCCAAGGGUAUGGCUGUUCGCCAUUUAAAGAGGUACGUGAGCUGGGUUUAAAACGUCGUGAGACAGUUUGGUCCCUAUCUUCCGUGGGCGCUGCAGAUUUGAGGAAGCCUGCUCCUAGUACGAGAGGACCGGAGUGGACACACCUCUGGUGUAUCGGUUGUCACGCCAGUGGCAUUGCCGAGUAGCUAAGUGUGGAAGAGAUAACCGCUGAAAGCAUCUAAGCGGGAAACUCGUUUCAAGAUGAGAUCUGCCGGGGCCUUGAGCCCCCUAAAGAGUCGUUCAAGACCAGGACGUUGAUAGGUCAGGUGUGGAAGC